rnacentral:rRNA from 1 species
UACGUAGGGUGCGAGCGUUAAUCGGAAUUACUGGGCGUGAAGCGUGCGCAGGCGGUUUGUUAAGUCUGAUGUGAAAGCCCCGGGCUCAACCUGGGAAUGGCAUUGGAAACUGGCAAGCUAGAGUGUGGCAGAGGGGGGUGGAAUUCCGCGUGUAGCAGUGAAAUGCGUAGAUAUCGGGAGGAACACCAGUGGCGAAGGCGACUACCUGGCCUGUUCUUGACGCUGAGGCGCGAAAGCUAGGGGAGCAAACGGG